rnacentral:rRNA from 1 species
GACGAACGCUGGCGGCGUGCUUAACACAUGCAAGUCGAACGGAAAGGCCCUGCUUUUGUGGGGUGCUCGAGUGGCGAACGGGUGAGUAACACGUGAGUAACCUGCCCUUGACUUUGGGAUAACUUCAGGAAACUGGGGCUAAUACCGGAUAGGAGCUCCUGCUGCAUGGUGGGGGUUGGAAAGUUUCGGCGGUUGGGGAUGGACUCGCGGCUUAUCAGCUUGUUGGUGGGGUAGUGGCUUACCAAGGCUUUGACGGGUAGCCGGCCUGAGAGGGUGACCGGCGAAGUGGGGAAUGAGACACGGGAGGAACAGAGUCGGGAGGGAGCGGGGGGGAAUGGUGAGAAGGGGGAGGAAUCAUAAUGCAGGAACGCGGGGGGCGGGAUGGAGGGGCUAGGAUUGGAAAAAGCGUGAGACGGUCAAGAAGGGCGAGCGGCGGCAAUAGGUAAAGUAGGAACGGACACAUAGGUA